GAUGACCGCAGACAGAAUGCUUAACACAAGCAAGUCAACCUGUGGCGGCCGGGUGAGUAACGCGUGCAGAACUCACCUCACAGAUCGGGACAACCUUUGGAAACGUAUGCUAAUACCUGAUACUGUGAGAGAGCUUUGCGUCCCAUUAGCUAGUUGGAGAGGUAACGGCUCACCAAGGCGAUGGUGGGUAGCCGGCCUGAGCGGGUGAUCGGCCACAAGGGGCCUGAGACACGGCCCUUAGGCCGACGGGAGGCAGCAGUGGGGAAUAUUGGACAAUAGACCAAAGUCUGAUCCAGCAAUUCUAUGUGCAGGAUGAAGUGUUCGGAAGGUAAAGUGCUUUCAGUUGGGAAGCGGUACCAACGGAAGAAGUGAGGGCUGAAUGCGUUCCGGCAGCCGCGGUAAUAC
rnacentral:rRNA from 1 species